rnacentral:rRNA from 1 species
UGGGGAAUAUUGCGCAAUGGGGGGAACCCUGACGCAGCCAUGCCGCGUGAAUGAAGAAGGCCUUAGGGUUGUAAAGUUCUUUCGGUAUUGAGGAAGGUUGAUGUGUUAAUAGCACAUCAAAUUGACGUUAAAUACAGAAGAAGCACCGGCUAACUCCGUGCCAGCAGCCGCGGUAAUACGGAGGGUGCGAGCGUUAAUCGGAAUAACUGGGCGUAAAGGGCACGCAGGCGGUUAUUUAAGUGAGGUGUGAAAGCCCUGGGCUUAACCUAGGAAUUGCAUUUCAGACUGGGUAACUAGAGUACUUUAGGGAGGGGUAGAAUUCCACGUGUAGCGGUGAAAUGCGUAGAGAUGUGGAGGAAUACCGAAGGCGAAGGCAGCCCCUUGGGAAUGUACUGACGCUCAUGUGCGAAAGCGUGGGGAGCAAACAGGAUUAGAUACCCUGGUAGUCCACGCUGUAAACGCUGUCGAUUUGGGGGUUGGGGUUUAACUCUGGCGCCCGUAGCUAACGUGAUAAAUCGACCGCCUGGGGAGUACGGCCGCAAGAUUA